rnacentral:rRNA from 1 species
CCGCCUGCCCAGUGAACUCACUUAAACGGCCGCGGUAUCCUAACCGUGCAAAGGUAGCGUAAUCACUUGUUCUCCAAAUAGGAACUAGUAUGAACGGCUAAAUGAGGGCCCAACUGUCUCCUUUAGCAAGCCAAUGAAACUGAUCUUUCAGUACAAAAGCUGAGAUAAACACAUAAGACGAGAAGACCCUGUGGAGCUUUCAAACUACCACUAGACCACCCACCCUAACUAGCCAGCAGUUUUAAGUUGGGGCGACUACGGGACCAAAAAAACACCCGCGAGCCAGGGCCUACAGCCCGCUACUGGCCAACAUGCCAAAAGCACAAUAACACUCGACCCAGCCACCACUGAGCAACGAACCCAGUUACCCCAGGGAUAACAGCGCCAUCCUCUUAAAGAGUCCAUAUCGCUAAGAGGGCUUACGACCUCGAUGUUGGAUCGGGACACCCAGGCGGUGCAGCCGCUGCCCAAAGGUUCGUUUGUUCAACGACUAAUGUCCCACGUGAUCUGAG